rnacentral:misc_RNA from 1 species
ACCCUUUCGUUUGUUGAGGAAACUGCACAGCUAUUGGAAUAUGAGAGUCGUGGAAUAUUAGUGGCAAUAGAAAGAGUCCCAAAAGGAUUUGCACUUAUAUUUUAUCGUGGAAAGAAUUAUCAGCGCCCCACAAACUUGAGGCCUAGAAAUCUAUUAACGAAAGCCAAAGCAUUAAAACGUUCCGUUGCCAUGCAACGCCAUGAGGCACUCAGCCAGCACAUAUCGGAGCUGGAAAAUAGAAUUGAGCAGAUGAAGCG